GAACAAACAAAAUUGUGGACAGGCCUAAAUAAGGACAACUAUAGACACGCAAGUUGCCGCUGUCCCCUUGCUUCAAGUAGCUAUUAUAUUAACCCACAUUUCUAAAGCCAAAGAACAUUUUUAAGGUUUCACACUGAUGCAAACAUAGAAUGAUCAGGAGCAUCUGCACAAAUUUACAGCUUUUAAUGGAGCAGGUGACAGGCCAGCAAAGCUCUUUGGCAAUAGCUAAAUAGAAAAUUCAGGAGGUUGAAUACUAUUUUCAAGAAGGAAAGACUUCGUUGCAUUGAGACAUCAAGUCGACCUUUCCAUCUUUCUGGACACAGAGUGUGAAAUUGUGGAAACGUGAAAGAGGCGAGUCUUAAUAUCUGCGAUGGACAUUGUCAUUACUUAGGGUGGGAGACGCUGAAAUGAAAUCUACGGAUCCUUUCCUGGCGGGACAAUGAGCUGCCCAAUGGAAUUGUAACCCUCUCCUAAUCUCCGCGGCAGAAACCAUGCUAAUAAGGGGCUCUCUCGCCCAAACCUGUCACCUUGGAGCGCCACCUUGCCGCUGAAAGGCAAACUGCAAGUCCAGAAGAUCUUGAUGCCGGUGCUAUUUGCAACUCUCUCUCUCUCUCUCUCUCUCUCUCUCUCUCUCUCUCUCUCUCUCUCUCUCUCAUAAUCAAAGAGACCUAAUAGAAUCGGACACUUGAAAGUGCCCCUUUCGCUCGGAGUUGAAGAGACAUUGUAUCUUUCCUGGCUAUCUCCUGUAGUAUCAGAAUGUGUGGGUGUAUGUGUGAAGAAGCUGGGGGGGGGGGAUGGGGGGGAGAGAGAAGAAACGCAAAACCAACCUUGGGUGUACGGUUUCUCAAAGACUUACAAGUUGUAACCUAACCGGCAAUGUUUGAAUUUAAGCUAUACAAUAACGGAUAGAUUUUCACACCUCGCCUAUAAUUUAAAACCCCGGUAUUCAUUCAUUUAUUUAUUUUUUAAAGUUUGGAGGUAACCCAAACGCACCCUUAUGAGUCAAUGGAAAGGAAAGCUAUCGAGUAACGCCGGGGGGGGGGGCGGAAUGCCCAGAGGAAAAUCAAACCAAGGCAGAGACUCAACCGCCAUUGGCGAGGGGAUUAUGUUCAUAUUUUAAUUCUUGGCCACAAUGGCGGACAUUUCAGUUUUUCCCAUACACAGAGGCAGAAACCAAAACGUUUGCCUAAUCAAAUCAAGGGCAAGUUCUAAAUCAGUGAUUAUUCUCUAUCUGCCUGUCGAUCGCAAUCUCUCCCAUACACUUUAGCGAAUAAACUGAGAUAUUUUAAAAACAAUCUGUUUGAGAUAAAUAACAGUAUUUUUAAAACAGUGUCUGAGGGCCAGUACAAACUUGGGAGAAAAUAUAUUUAUGAUCAUCA